GACGAACGCUGGCGGCGUGCUUAACACAUGCAAGUCGAACGGAAAGGCCCUGCUUUUGUGGGGUGCUCGAGUGGCGAAAGGGUGAGUAACACGUGAGUAACCUGCCCUUGACUUUGGGAUAACUUCACGAAACUGGGGCUAAUACCGGAUAGGAGCUCCUGCUGCAUGGUGGGGGUUGGAAAGUUUCGGCGGUUGGGGAUGGACUCGCGGCUUAUCAGCUUGUUGGUGGGGUAGUGGCUUACCAAGGCUUUGACGGGUAGCCGGCCUGAGAGGGUGACCGGCCACAUUGGGACUGAGAUACGGCCCAGACUCCUACGGGAGGCAGCAGUGGGGAAUAUUGCACAAUGGGCGGAAGCCUGAUGCAGCAACGCCGCGUGCGGGAUGACGGCCUUCGGGUUGUAAACCGCUUUCGCCUGUGACGAAGCGUGAGUGACGGUAAUGGGUAAAGAAGCACCGGCUAACUACGU
rnacentral:rRNA from 1 species